CUGCAAUAAGGUGUUGGUACAAGUGCCCACAGUCCCUCCUAGACUUUGCUGCAUCGAAAUAUCUGUUUUUCUAUGGGUACACCCAGGUAUGCUUAUAAUAUGCAUCAAAUAGAUAAGUGAGAUAGAGGCAUUAAUGUAGUGAUGGUGUAGAGUUUGAUACAUGAAUGGAAAUUUACCAGGAUUAGUCACUAAAUUAUGUUUUUUUUUGUGACUUCUCUCAUUUUCAAGCUAU